GUUCUCAGAUCACCUUUUUUUCUCCUUCAUUUUUUGUUAGACCUAAUCGCAAUCUCCCUUCCCUUCCCCUCUCCCUAAACGCACGUGGCUGGGCCGUGCCGCGCCGUGCCGUACAGUGCCGCAAGAGAAAAGGGGGGGGACUUUUGUUCCUGCUCCCCCGGGUUUGUUCCCACUGUCCCGGACUGAGCUCUAGAGAGAACUCCGUGACACCCAGGCCAGACAGAGGCCUGAGGCACCAGGAAAGCAGAGCAGAGGAAGCGUCUGUGGUGAGACGCUCAGGAGAAAUUCCCUUCCUUGCAGCAGCAGCCUGUUUGUGUCCACGUGAUGCGCCGUGAAGAGAAGCCUGCUGUUCUGUGAGUCAGCCUGCCACACAGGAAUAAUGGCUCUGGCCUCUUGGGCAAGUCUCUGAGGAGAGGUGUUUAGACAGGUCUGUAGACAGAUAUUCGUCAUCUAGACAAGCAGUGCUGUAGCACCAGGGAAGUGAGAAAUCUCAUGUACAGCCAGUCUUCUCCACCAGCCUUACAGUGCCUUUCUGCAAUACCUCUCAAUGCCUGUAGAAAUGGGGGAGAGGUGAGGUGCAAUUCCUGUGCAUCCUGUGCCCACGCAGCAGGUGUCACCUACGGAGAGCUGGGAGCCCUCUGCUGUGUCCUGGAUUUGUUUUCCUUCCUUGUUGGAGCUUCUGUGAUGCUUUUGUAGGUGCUCUGUGCAUUUGAGGUAACUGUGAACUCUGCUGAGACCACAGAUGUGGUGUGGACUCUCCCUUUUGGCUUUCAAUUGUGUACAGGGGCAUUGCUAAGAAUGAAAGAGCAGACGUCUUCCGAGGUCGGGGAAAGGAAGGUGCUUGCGAAGCAAAGGCAGGUAGACGUGUGCUUGCUUGGAAAUGGCCAUUAUGUUUUCUUUCAUGCUGAUUUCUACUGACUUCAGCUGAUUUCACUUACAUAAAUGAAGGUAAGUAAAUAAAGAAAAAUAAA